CUAUAAUGCAAGUCGACGAACUUCCGUUAAUUGAUUAUGACGUACUUGUACUGAUUGAGAUUUUAACACGAAGUGAGUGGCGAACGGGUGAGUAACACGUGGGUAACCUGCCCAGAAGUAGGGGAUAACACCUGGAAACAGAUGCUAAUACCGUAUAACAGAGAAAACCGCAUGGUUUUCUUUUAAAAGAUGGCUCUGCUAUCACUUCUGGAUGGACCCGCGGCGUAUUAGCUAGUUGGUGAGGUAAAGGCUCACCAAGGCAGUGAUACGUAGCCGACCUGAGAGGGUAAUCGGCCACAUUGGGACUGAGACACGGCCCAGACUCCUACGGGAGGCAGCAGUAGGGAAUCUUCCACAAUGGACGCAAGUCUGAUGGAGCAACGCCGCGUGAGUGAAGAAGGGUUUCGGCUCGUAAAGCUCUGUUGUUAAAGAAGAACGUGGGUAAGAGUAACUGUUUACCCAGUGACGGUAUUUAACCAGAAAGCCACGGCUAACUACGUGCCAGCAGCCGCGGUAAUACGUAGGUGGCAAGCGUUAUCCGGAUUUAUUGGGCGUAAAGCGAGCGCAGGCGGUCUUUUAAGUCUAAUGUGAAAGCCUUCGGCUCAACCGAAGAAGUGCAUUGGAAACUGGGAGACUUGAGUGCAGAAGAGGACAGUGGAACUCCAUGUGUAGCGGUGAAAUGCGUAGAUAUAUGGAAGAACACCAGUGGCGAAAGCGGCUGUCUGGUCUGCAACUGACGCU
rnacentral:rRNA from 1 species